rnacentral:rRNA from 1 species
CCUACGGGAGGCAGCAGUGGGGAAUAUUGCACAAUGGGCGCAAGCCUGAUGCAGCGACGCCGCGUGAGGGAUGACGGCCUUCGGGUUGUAAACCUCUUUCAGCAGGGACGAAGCGCAAGUGACGGUACCUGCAGAAGAAGCACCGGCCAACUACGUGCCAGCAGCCGCGGUAAUACGUAGGGUGCAAGCGUUGUCCGGAAUUACUGGGCGUAAAGAGCUCGUAGGCGGUUUGUCGCGUCGUCUGUGAAAACCAGCAGCUCAACUGUUGGCUUGCAGGCGAUACGGGCAGACUUGAGUAUUUCAGGGGAGACUGGAAUUCCUGGUGUAGCGGUGAAAUGCGCAGAUAUCAGGAGGAACACCGGUGGCGAAGGCGGGUCUCUGGGAAAUAACUGACGCUGAGGAGCGAAAGCGUGGGUAGCGAACAGGAUUAGAUACCCUGGUAGUCCACGCCGUAAACGGUGGGCGCUAGGUGUGGGUUUCCUUCCACGGGAUCCGUGCCGUAGCUAACGCAUUAAGCGCCCCGCCUGGGGNGACGCGCAGCGAACACGAAGAAGUAGACGCGUGAGACGUGCCGACGGACGACGACGAGGGAGAGG